ensembl:lncRNA
AUGAAGAUGGGAACAGAUGGACAGGCUGAAAAGGACGAAGGAGAAAUUGUGGCAGGCAAGUCAGAAUCUGAACAAUGUCCUGAUGAAGAGGAGGAAAUGGAGUCUAAAGCAGACAGAAGGACAGGUGGCUUAAGAUGUUUCCAAGGAAACAGAGAGACCUCGGAGGAUGAGCCUAGUGAACUGGGGGCUGCUGUUAUUACUUCCUCUGAGCCUGUAUUUCUUGUGCCUCAGCUCAGCUCACAACCUCAGUACCUGGACUGUGACUUUGAUGUGGAGCUAACAGCAGAAGUGAUAGUUGAGAAUGGCGCAUCUCUUGCUUUGUUGACAUCUGUUACCCCAAAUCUUGGUUACCAGAAGCCAGGAUCCUUCUUAAAUGGAAAUUUUCUCUUCCCACCAUCUUUAAAGAAAAAGAGAGUUUCUAUAGAACGUUUUCUGCCUGCAGGCUCUUUUCCUGGAUGUUACUCAAGUGUGACUCAAGCCUCAGGACUGACCUGUUCCCUCAAAAACUCUGAUAGGGUCAUAGAGAUGGCCAAAAGCCCUCUACCCUCAUCACCCUCCAACUCACCAUCAUCUCCUUCAUCUGCUCCCUCUUCCCCCUCGUCCUCCCCCUCAUCUUCAUCUCCUGGUGGAAUGGGUACAAACUACCGUGAGGAUGAGGACAGAGGCAAUGCUGGAGACAGCAGGGUCAACAAAGGAACUGGAGACUUUGUGUCAUCCACUUCAUCCUCUUUGGUGCCAUCGUCAAUGCCAGUGCCACCGUCUUCUUCCUCUAAUCCCUCACUUCAUGCAUCUUCAUCAUUCACACAUCCAUGCAAUGAUGGACAGAGGGAGAGUUUAGAGAAUGACAUAUACGACCCCUUUCACCCAACAGAGGGUGAGGGGGAGAGAGACCGGGUGUCCACUGAGGACGAGGAGGAAGAGGUUGAUAAGUAUGAUCCAUUUGAACCGACAGGUUCUCCAGCCUCUGAAACAGAGGAGGAAAAAAGAUGUGUGGAUGAGGAGAAUGAAGGAGGAAGCAGCAUUAAUAGCAGAGGGAAUGUUGCAAAAGCUGAUAGAGCAUUGGAAAAGGGGACGCCUGCUGGCACAGAGGGGGGUCAUCCAGAUUCAACAGAAAUUGACGCCCCAUCUUCAAUGUUCUAUAAUGUCCCUUUAGAACUCAACAGUAAGCGAUCCAUCAAAGACAGAAUAAGGGAACAGGGAAAAAAUCAAAGAGAACGGGCAACAGACUCUGAACACUCUGAGAUAGAAGAAGGAGAGAUAGUGGGAGCCAAUGAAAGAGGAAGAGAACGAGUGAUUGAGAGAAGGAGGGAGGUGUUGCUUCCAUCUUCAAGCAGUCCCUCUUACCUUCAAGCAGGUAUCCCAAAACCUGAGAGGAUCUUAAGGGUUUUAGAGGGUGAUGGGUUUGUAUCUGUCCGUGCUGAUGAAGAAUGGGAGAGGGAGCCAGUAGCUUCUGUGGGCGUCGGAGAUCUGAGACGAAAACUGACAAGUAGGAGGAAAGAGAGGUUCAGAUCAUGCCCUUCUUCUGCAUCCAUAUCACCUCCACCUGUUCCUGUUUUGCCUUUGCCCUCUCCUUCCUUUACCAAUUCUCCACCUCUGUCCACUGAUAAAGGGAGGAGUCGCAAAUCCUCCAAGAGUUCAAAGGACAGGGAUAGACGCAAGCGGAAAGAGGGAAGAGUAGAGAAGGAAAAGAGGAAAAAAAGGAAAGAAGAAAAGGAGUCAGCUGAGAGUAAAAGAGAAAGCAAAGAGAGGGACAGUGAAAAAAGGAGUAUAAAAGAGAACAAAGACAAGGAUAGGGAUAGAGGGAGAAGUAGCCGAAGUAAUAGCCACAAGAGGAAAAAGAGACACAGGAGCACUCCAGAACAUUCCUCCCGCUCCCACUCCCAGAACGCCUCACGACACACACACAGUCGCAGAUCCUGGUCCAGUCACUCUGAGGAUCGCCACAAAGAUAGAGACCGAGAUAAAGAGAGGGAAAGAGAACCAGAAAGGAACCAUGAAAGAGACAGGGAUAGGGACCGGUGGCGAGAUGACAGGGGUAGAGAACGAGACGGAGACUCCAGGAGAAGAGAUGAACGAAGGAGAGAUAGGGAUGAUGAUAUCAGAAGGUCAAGCAGCCGAGAGAGAGGCAGUACAAAGAGGAGCAGAGGAAGUGACAGUGACAGGAGAGAACGAGAGAAAGAGAUGGUUGGAGAAAGAGAUCGAGACAGGGACAGGAGAAGAGAUAUUAGACCUGUUGUACCCCCGUCCAUUCAGGAUCUCAAUGGCUCUGAUCUUUUUGCGAUCAAACGUACCAUCACUGUUACCACCACUACAACAACCACCACACUACCAGGUUCACCACCCCAUAGCCAACGGCACUCCCGCAGCCGAUCCCAGAGCUCAGACAAACAUCGUAAGAGGAAGAAGAAACGAAGGAGACGAUCAGAUGAUGAGGAAAGAAAGGACGAGGAGCAUAGGAGCAGGUCCCGGCCCACCUCCCUCACUCCUCUUCGUUAUCAUGGAUAUGAAUCAGAUCGACUCUCAGAUCGUCCUGAGGUAGACCUGCUCUCUUUGGAUGGGGAAGCACUGGAUUCAGACUACCCUUCACUAGAGGACUCACCACUACUUCCUCCUCCUCCUGAGCCCCCUCUACCCAAUCCUAAAAUUAAAUCCGGAGCGCCCAAAACUAGCCAAUAUCAUCUAAAGAAGAAAUCCAGGUCUAGCAAGACAGUUGGUCAGUCUGAAUCCACCUCCUCCUCUUCUUCUCAUAGACCAAAAGCCAAAAGUAAAAACCUUCUGUCAUCUCUUUCACCACCUCUUUCUGCAUCCUCAGGCAACACCACCUCCCUUCAGCCUACAGCAUCCUCAUCCACUACUAAGCGAGGACGGAAAACCGGUAAGGAAAAAAUGGGGAAGAAGGAUGCCGGGCAUUCUGGCAGGUCCAAGAAGCUCAGUGGUGGUAGCAGAAAGGGUAAGCUCCAGUCUAAAGUCUCUGUCCUGGUUCGUGAGGGAGUUAGUAGCACAACUGGGAACUCUGGGAAGUUGGGCCUUGACCUUCUUGGAACUGGUGGUGUUGUAAGUGGAGCUUCAGGGCCCUCAGUUGUUGGUGGGUCUAUUGCCGUGGUUUUCCGCCGAGACAACGAGAGCCGAUCACCAUUUCUUAAGCCCUGCUCAGAGACACUGGCUCUUCCAGGGAGAGGCAAAGACCCAAGCAAAACUGGGAAACAACGCAACAUACUCGGGCCUCCAUCAUCAACAAAUCCAAGUGGACUAAAGUUGAAGAAGACCAAGCCAAGCUCUGCUACAUCCACAUCUUCAUCUGCCUCUUCCCCAACUUCCUCAUUGGCAGCGAAACGUAGAAGGAGGCCUGGAAAGAAGCCCAGAGAGAAAGGGAUAAGUGUGGAUGGAAGUGACUCUAAAGGCGUUAAUAGUACUUGUAGCACAGUUGGUGGUGGUUGGCCGGGAGUAUCAACAGAAAUGCAUCCAUUGGUUGGGGUUGGAUCCAAGCCAUCCAGUCCUCCUUUAGCUCUUCCUGGUCCCACUCCCUCCUCCUCUUCAUCAUCCUCCACUUCCUCGUCAGCAAGUAUCCUUCCUCCAUCUUCCUCACCACCACACACAUCCCCGUUAUCUUUGCCUCCGUCUCGAGAUACUAGAGAGUCAUCCCCAGAUUCUCAAACUGUUGAUAGUAGCUGCAAGACACCAGAGCCUUCCUUCCUCUUGGAGGAAGGCCCUGGUCAGUCCAAAGCCUUGUCUCUCACACCCUCAAAGUCCCCCACCAGCCCUCCCAGUCUGCUGUCAUCACAGAUCAGGGGGGAUACCAUAUCUCAGUCCACUUCCAGUGCUAAACCUCUCCCACCAGAUGAUCAGAAGGGCUCACCACCAUGCUCUACUUCAAUAGCUUCAGUGUCGGUCUCCGUCUCUCAUUCCAGUGCUCCUCUGGCAAAUGACCCUUCUUCAUCCUCCUCUUCUUCAGUGUCCUCAUCUUCAGUUAAUAAGCCACCACCACCUCCACCUCCCCCCCCAUCGGCUCCACCAUUACCCUGGAGUUUACAAACCGGAGUGGACUGCACUGCUGG